rnacentral:lncRNA from 1 species
UGCACUGUAUGUGUGCUGUCACCCAACAAUGGAGGUAAUUGUUAAGUUUGCAUUCCUGCAACUUCUUGUAUAUAUCUGGAAAGAAACUUCUUACUAUUUGCUGAGUUCACAUCCAAUGUAUCUUUGCUUUUUUUUCUUUUUCUUUUUGCAACACAAUGUAUCUUCACUUUUGAAAAACUGCAUUGGAUGUACCGACAUAAAUAUAUAAUAUAAUGAUGAUCUAAUGGCAAAUUAUAUGGCCAUAGGCAGUGAUGAUCAAUAAGAGGGCACAUGAAUUUAUCUUCUAACGUAUGCAUCACUAUUUGUUUAGCUCUCUGUCUUUAUUUUUCCGCCGGCAUUGUAUAGUUAAAAGUUAGGUUUCAUCUGGUUUAGUUAGUUAGGGGGAUCUUGUUGUGCUCUCUAUCUUUAUUUUUGUGGCCUCCGUUGUAUGGUUAAAAAGUUAGGUUUCAUCUGGUUUUAGUUAGUUAUAAGCGAAUCUCUUUAAGCUCUCUAUCUUUAUUUUUGCUGCCCCCGUUAUAUGGUUAAAAAGUUAGGUUUCAUCUGAUUUUAGUAAGUUAAGCAGAUCUCGUUAAGCUCUCUAUCUUUAUUUUUGCUGCCUCAUUGUAUGGUUAAAAAGUUGGGUUUCAUCUGAUUUUAGUUGGUUAUAAGCGGAUCUCGUUAAGGUGGUAAGAAGAACUCCAUAUUGUCCCGCCUCACAAUAACAGAACCUAUUAACCUCGUCAAAAUUGUAUCUCAUACUCAUACAUAUCAUUCAUUUUCGAAUAACAUGAAUUAUCAUAUCAGUACAUAUAUCAUCUGUCCAUAUGCACAAGAGAUAAUCAUCUGCCAGCUGAUUAUUCUUAUCGUUGAGAGCCGAUCCUGUCCCUUCAAUGUUAAUUAGAGGUGUCAUUAUAAAAGACAAGAAAAUAACCACUUGCCCCUGGGUCUUCUCUCGUCAGCAGAAACUUGCCCCCGGUGCUAGGGUUGAGGGACCCCUGGCGUCGCCCAGGGGGAGGCGGCGCGAGGGGAGGUGAGCUAGUUGCUCGUGCGCGGCCGCUGAUUUGCUGCAGGUUUUGUGAUAUUUGGACGUUCGAUGUACAUUGAGAUAUUGGAUUAACUUUGUUAUGCCUAUGAGAUUUGUACAUUGAGAUAUUGGAGGAACUACCACACAUUUGCAAAGCAGCCAUGGCUACUAGGAUCAUGGUUUUGCUUCUUCUCAUGCUCCUCUCAUUCUCAGAGUCCACCACCCCUUACCAGGUGUUAGAUUUCAACACGGCAACCCAGAGUACCGAGGAGCUUCACCAAGCUAUGGAGCGGGCGUUUUGGCUCCUCUCCUUCCGGCGGUUCAUCAGGCGAAGUGCAUAGGAAGGCCAAAUUUGUUGUUGCUGCAUGCUUCUGUGCUGAAGUGGACACGAAGCUAUGGAGCGGAAGCUGAUGUGCUGAAGCAUUCUCUCGUCGUCUUGUUGACUGCACUGGCAGACGGCCUGCAAGCUCGCUGCAUCCCGGAC